rnacentral:tRNA from 1 species
CAGAAUAUAGCUGUCAAACAGCACUUCCUUUACACUGAAAAGUUGCUCAUGCAAACUGAGCUGUUCUGA